UUGGUUGAUGCUAUAUCGCACCUAGUAAAAACACAAAAAGGUGGUGGAUAAUCUAACGACAAUUCCUGCUCUGCUGAAUAAUCUAAUCACAAUUCCAAUUGCCGAGACCAUUCUAUAGAAAAUUCUGCUGCGAUAGCUAUUCUGACAAAAAAAUUAGUCUGGUGUAGUGGCUAUUCUGCCGAAUAUUUCUACUGUGAUGGGUAAUGUCACGAAAUUCUUGAUAUAAUGGAUAUUCUAAAGAAAAAUGGUGCUGUUGGAACCAAUCUAUAGAAAAUCCUACUGUGAGAACCAAGCUGAAAAGCCAUUCUGGUGUAAUUGCUAAUGUGAAGAAAAUUCUGGUGUAAUGUCUAUUGAGGAAAAUUCUGGUGUACCCAGUUAACAUUCAUGGUUAGAUUUACGUAAAGUUUACGUCAUUAUGGUUAGAUUUUGGUUAGCGUCCAAUAAUGAUCCUUCAUGUAUAUUUGAGCACCCGUGGUGGCAGUAAUGACAAAGAAGUUCUAAAAAGAUUUAUAAUGAAAGUUAGACAACACUACUACUUGCCAAACACUACUACUUGUCACAUAAUGUAAUGAUAUAAAUAUAUAUGUAUCUAUGGUAGCACAAAUAUCAUCAGAAUGUAGGCCAAAGCUUUACAAGCAUUGUAGGCCUAAAAUACUUUCUGUCUGAACUUUUGACAGUCAAUUCUUUGAUGACUAGUUAGUUUAGAGCAGAUAUCCUGUCACAGUAUUAUAUAACAGCUCUUUGGCUUAAAAUUUAAACUGAGUUGUAUCAGUGAGUUGAAAAUCAUCUGUGUUCCUGUUAUUGCUCCCUGCUGCAGCCAGUAAACAAUAACCUUUUGCGUUCCUUACAAAUGUUCCAAUUUUUACUGAUAGAUCAACCAUAGCAAAGAUCUCUAUUAAGAUUAUAUUUGUAAUGUGUGUAACAAAUUCUAUGACAUAGGUAUAAUAUUGGUGUAGUUAAGUAUAUACCAUAUUUAUGCACACAUUUCAAUAUUGGCAUAUUAUUAGUCUCUAUCAUCUAGAAAAAAAUAUUCUAUAUUCUACGAAUAUUAGUGUGGUUGCGUUGUCAACAUUUGAGAAUAAUCGGUCAUAGGCUAGAUUAUCCGGUCUUUUACAUUAUCAUAAACAAAGUCUAAGGGAGGUAACUAGUCCUAAAACAAGAUGUUGACGACCAUGAAAUUUAUAUAAGAAUGCCAUUUCCGAAAAUCCAUUUGAUUGCAUUGUCAGUUCAAUAUCCAACACUCUUAAUUUUUUUUAUUGUAAAAUUUCUCUCUUCAUGGGCCAUAUCUAUGUUGUUUUUUUAUUGAAUCCUAAUUCGUCAUCACUAUUCAUGUUUGUUUAUAAAUGCAAGUGUUAUUGACAACUGUCCCAGACCCUCAUUAUUUAUAUGGCCCAACUUUUCUUCGGGGUACACCGGCACGGUAUUAGACUAGGAUAAACAUUAGUCUUAUAUACCGCCUCUACUUAAUUAUGGAUGUAGGUCGGAAAAAUGUAAAAUUUGGCAAUUUGACUUAUACUCAACAUCGACUUAUGCUAUAACUGUUUCAAAUGACAAGUGCUAAAUGAAGUAUUUAUGUGGUCUUUGGUGAAAGAAAUGAAAUGAAAUGAAAUGGGGUUUAACGUCCUACUGUUCUGCUCCUAACCUGGGCUAAUGAAGACGAGCAUAUGCCAUACAGUGUGCUAUGAGGGAAAUUUUGCCUGGGCAGCGGGGCUACGGCCUACUCUUAUAUCGAAUUCCAACUGCCAAGGGAUCUUUUACGUGCACGUCAAUGUCUACACGGGACCCCGUUUUUUUGUCCCAUAACGACUAGACAGCUGUCCUUGUCAGUCCCUCCGUCCUGCAUCACUGACAAGGGAAACCACGCCGGAAAAUUAGGAUGAACUUUCUCGGCCAAUACAGGGAUCAAACACCCGAUCUCCAGGCUAGCGAGCCAGCGUCUUACCCACUUAGCCACUUGAUCCCCUCCUUUGGUGAAAGAGAGAGAGAGAGAAAUGGGGUUUACUGUCCACUGGACACAAACUAGGUCAUUUCGGGACUAACAUGGUUUAAUUUUUUAUUUACAUAAUUCGCUUGCGCGUAGGGGUCUUUAGCAGGGGGAGGAAACCGGACGACCCGGUGAAAACCCACGAGGUUGGACAGGCGACCCUACUCCUUGCCACGUACAACCGGGGAUUCGAAACCAUGCCAGUCGACUCAAUGACAGACUUUAUGAUACAGCGCGCACACGCUAACCAUUCAGCCAUCCAUCCCCCCCCCCCCCUUUGGUGAAAGAAAACAGAGCUGUGGCUAGUGAAAUGAAAGUUUAACGUCCUACUGUUUUGCUCUGAACUGGGCUAAUGAAGAUGGGCAUACGCCAUACAGUGUGCUAUGUGGGAAAUUUUGCCCGGACAGUGGCACUACGGCCUUCUCUUGUAUCGAAUUCUAACUUCAAGGGCUCUUGUACGUGAACGCCAAUGUGUACAUGGGACCUCAUUUUUUUGUCCCAUUUUAAUGACUAGAUAGCUGUCUUGUCUAGCCCUCUGUCCUGCAUCACUGACAAGGGAGAACCACGCCGGAAAAUCUGGAGUAACUUUCUCGGCCAAUGCAGGGAUCGAACACCCGACCUCCAGACUAGAUAGCCAGUGUCUUACCGACUUAACCAACGUGAUCCCCGUUGUGGCUACAAUUCCUAGAUUUGAAGGUCAGGUAUGAUAUGAAACGAAUAUUUUGAACCGGUUCACCAAUGCAACCAAUCUGUGACGGGUUAACUGAUAGAGGGUUACAUCCUUGAUAUAAAUAUACUUGUCGCAGGUUUUAAAAAUAGAAAGAUAUAUAUAAAGGUAGCUCAAAAUUCAUCUCUACAUGUACAUAGGCCAAGGGGGGGAUCAUGUGGCUAAGUGGGUAAGACGCUGACUCGCUAGCCUUGAGGUCGGGUGUUCGAUCCCUGCAUUGGCCGAGAAAGUUCAUCCUGAUUUUCCGGUGUGGUUUAUCAUUGUCAGUGAUGCAGGACGGAGGGCCUGACGAGGACAGCUGUCUAGUCGUUUGGAUGGGACAAAAAAAACAAGGUCCAGUGUACACAUUGGCAUGCACAUAAAAGAUCCCCUGGCAGUUGGAAUUCGAUACAAGAGUAGGCUAUAGCGCUGCUGCCCGGGAAAAAUUUCCCUCAUAGCACACUGUAUGGCGUAACCUUUUGCGUCUCUUCAAAAUAUUUCAAAUCUUUUGUCAUGGAUCAACCAUUGCAAAUAUCCGUGUUACAAUUAUAUUUGAAAUGUGUUAAACCAAUUCUGCAACACAUGUAAUAUUGGUGUAGUAUAUAUCUUUGUUUAUACACCCACAUAUCAAUUUUGGCCCUGUUUGUCCGUACACUGGGUGUGAAAUGUGAAUCAUUCCGAUUGUGAGAGGACAAGCAUUAUCAAUAUACAGCUUUUCAGGACUUUGCCUUCCUUGGUUAAUUCUCCUUUUUUCAAAUGCAAUAGAUGCUGUGUUUAUUCUUAAUUGAUCUUUUUCAAAUUUGUGUUACACACUGGAAUCAUGAGAGGACGAAACCUAUCAAUAUUCAGUAUUCCACAACAAUCCAUUCCAGUGUCGGCCGAGAAAGUUCUUUGUGAUUUCCAGACUUGGUUUCCUCCCCUUGUCAGAGGUGCAGGACAGAGGGCCUGACAAGGAGGGACAGCUGUCUAGUCGUUUGGAUGGUACGAAUGACCGAGGUCCUGUGCACACAUUGGUUCGCACGUGAAAGAUCCCUUGGCAGUUUGAAUUCGAUAUAAGAGUAGGCUUUAGCGCCGCUGUCUGGAUAAAAUUCCAUAAUAGGACACUGUAUAGCAUAUUUCCAUGUCAUUAGCCCUGUCGGAAUAGGACAUUAAACCCCAUUUCAUUUCACUCAUUCCAAAGUUAACUCCUAUUCCAUCAAUACCUUGAGCAAAUAAGAUAGAGGCUAUAGGUUUUGGCCCAAUUUGGUCAAUAUCCCAGUUUUUUCUUUCUUAUAUGCAUAUCAACACUUUCAUAGCGCUAAUGUAGACCUUUUUCUUGAACAUUUUCCCUUGUCAGUGAUGCCGGACAGAGGACCUGACAUGGAUGGCUGACUAGUCAUACGGAAGGGACAAAAAAAAAACCCAAGGUACAGUGUAAACUCAAGUGUGUGUGUGUGAAAGAUCCCUUGGCAGUUGGAAUUUUAUAUAAGAGUACGCCAUAGCUCUGCACACUGUGUGGCAUAUGCCCGUCUUCAUUUCUCUAACAGCUGUGGAUAAAAACUGUUAAUAUUUAAAUGUGUAUUUUGUAUUUUAUAACAUUAUAUUUUUGUCUUUUAAAUAAAGUAUAUGUAUACAUA